rnacentral:rRNA from 1 species
GACGAACGCUGGCGGCGUGCUUAACACAUGCAAGUCGAACGGAAAGGCCCUGCUUUUGUGGGGUGCUCGAGUGGCGAACGGGUGAGUAACACGUGAGUAACCUGCCCUUGACUUUGGGAUAACUUCAGGAAACUGGGGCUAAUACCGGAUAGGAGCUCCUGCUGCAUGGUGGGGGUUGGAAAGUUUCGGUGGUUGGGGAUGGACUCGCGGCUUAUGAGCUUGUUGGUGGGGUAGUGGCUUACCAAGGCUUUGACGGGUAGCCGGCCUGAGAGGGUGACCGGCCACAUUGGGACUGAGAUACGGCCCAGACUGCUACGGGAGGCAGCAGUGGGGAAUAUUGCACAAUGGGCGGAAGCCUGAUGCAGCAACGCCGCGUGCGGGAUGAAGGCCUUCGGGUUGUAAACCGCUUUCGCCUGUGACGAAGCGUGAGUGACGGUAAUGGGUAAAGAAGCACCGGCUAACUACGUG